UACGUAGGUGGCAAGCGUUGUCCGGAUUUACUGGGCGUAAAGAGCGCGCAGGCGGUCGUUCAAGUCGCGUGUGAAAGCCCCCGGCUCAACCGUGGAGGGUCAUUGGAAACUGGGGGACUUGAGUACAGAAGAGAAGAGUGGAAUUCCACGUGUAGCGGUGAAAUGCGUAGAGAUGUGGAGGAACACCAGUGGCGAAGGCGACUCUUUGGUCUGUAACUGACGCUGAGGCGCGAAAGCGUGGGGAGCAAACAGG
rnacentral:rRNA from 1 species